UUACAUGAUGAUGAAUUUUUUUUUUACCAGUCGAUUUUGGAACAGGACGUGGAAUUUACAAUCUGCGUCUUAAGGCCAUCCCGUGAAUCAUCACGUUCGGGACAUUCGCAGUCUGGUUGCGUCUUUCGUUUUGAUAUACGUGCUAUAAAGAUUGUCUGUUGCGGAAUUGGGCGCCUUUUUAUGUGAUGAGUUACUGGGUUAUUUUGUCAUAGUUACACUGAUA
rnacentral:snoRNA from 1 species